rnacentral:rRNA from 1 species
GACGAACGCUGGCGGCGUGCUUAACACAUGCAAGUCGAACGGAAGGGCCCUGCUUUUGUGGGGUGCUCGAGUGGCGAACGGGUGAGUAACACGUGAGUAACCUGCCCUUGACUUUGGGAUAACUUCAGGAAACUGGGGCUAAUACCGGAUAGGAGCUCCUGCUGCAUGGUGGGGGUUGGAAAGUUUCGGCGGUUGGGGAUGGACUCGCGGCUUAUCAGCUUGUUGGUGGGGUAGUGGCUUACCAAGGCUUUGACGGGUAGCCGGCCUGAGAGGGUGACCGGCCACAUUGGGACUGAGAGACGGCCCAGACUCCUACGGGAGGCAGCAGUGGGGAAUAUGGCACAAUGGGCGGAAGCCUGAUGCAGCAACGCCGCGUGCGGGAUGACGGCCUUCGGGUUGUAAACCGCUGUCGCCUGUGACGAAGCGUGAGUGACGGUAAUGGGUAAAGAAGCACCGGCUAACUACGUG